CUUGGCCUACGGGAGGCAGCAGUGAGGAAUAUUGGUCAAUGGCCGAGAGGCUGAACCAGCCAAGUCGCGUGAGGGAUGACGGCCCUACGGGUUGUAAACCUCUUUUGUCGGGGAGCAAAGAGAGUCACGUGUGGCUCAUUGAGAGUACCCGAAGAAAAAGCAUCGGCUAACUCCGUGCCAGCAGCCGCGGUAAUACGGAGGAUGCGAGCGUUAUCCGGAUUUAUUGGGUUUAAAGGGUGCGCAGGCGGAGGUGCAAGUCAGUGGUCAAAUUGCGGGGCUCAACCCCGUACUGCCGGUGAAACUGC
rnacentral:rRNA from 1 species